rnacentral:lncRNA from 1 species
AAGAACGUCGUGAGAGGGAGAGGAAGGAGCGGAAGAAGCGUGAGGAGGAGAGGGCGCGCAAAGAGAAGGCAGCUCGUCAAGAGGAGAGGGCAAGAAAGCUUGCGAGGGCUCGCGAUGCACAAGAGGAGGAUGAGGCACGCGACAAGAAGGGGAAAUGGCCGCGUGUGACCCAAUAAAGACUUGAAUGUGCUGCUAUUUGAGGAUUGUAUCAUGAAUUUGUGAUGAACUAUGUCAUGGACCUAUUGUGCUAUUUGAUGGGAACUAUGUAAUGAACCUAAGUUAUGCUAUUUGAUGGGAACUAUGUAACGAACCUAAGUUAUGCUAUUUGAUGAGAACUAUGUAAUGAACCUAACUUUCUUAUUAGUUGUCCAUGUGGUGAAUUGU